CACGUAGGGUGCGAGCGUUGUCCGGAAUUAUUGGGCGUAAAGCGCGCGCAGGCGGUCCUUUAAGUCUGAUGUGAAAGCCCACGGCUCAACCGUGGAGGGUCAUUGGAAACUGGGGGACUUGAGUACAGAAGAGAAGAGUGGAAUUCCACGUGUAGCGGUGAAAUGCGUAGAGAUGUGGAGGAACACCAGUGGCGAAGGCGACUCUUUGGUCUGUAACUGACGCUGAGGCGCGAAAGCGUGGGGAGCGAACAGG
rnacentral:rRNA from 1 species